UUUGGAUUUCUGUUAUUCAGCCACUCACCAGUUAGAACAGAAGAAACAUUGAAUCCUGCAUCUUCCUGAGAACUGUGCCUGCAAAGUCUUGGCUUGGAUCUCGACCCUGAAACGAGACUGCCGGACCAGCUGCUCUACAGGAAUCACCAGGGAGCGUAACUGCACCUCCAACACCAGUGGAAGCAUCUCGUGUUUUUUUUUUUUUUUUUUUUUGCUGUGAUAUAAGAGAUAUAAGUUGAUGUUGAAUAAAAUAGAUAAAUUCCCAUUUAGGAGACCAGGUCAAUUUAUCAUAAUUAAAUUCCUUCUUGAGAGACUGAUCAAAAGAAUAAUCAACUUUUAAUUUGGUUUCAUUUCCAUGUUAUUAAUUCAGUGGUGCCCCGAUAACAAGUGUUUGUUAAAGUAACGUUUCUCCUACAACUGUAAUAUUCAAAACUACUAAAAUAACAUCUAAGUUGUAAUAAACUGGAAUUAUCUUUGAGGACCAUA